GACGAACGCUGGCGGCGUGCUUAACACAUGCAAGUCGAGCGGUAAGGCCCUUUCGGGGGUACGACGAGCGGCGAACGGGUGAGUAACACGUGGGUGACCUGCCCUCAGCUCUGGGAUAAGCCUGGGAAACUGGGUCUAAUACUGGAUAUGACUCCACGGUGCAUGUCGUGGGGUGGAAAGCCUUGUGCGGCUGAGGAUGGGCCCGCGGCCUAUCAGCUUGUUGGUGGGGUGAGGCCUACCAAGGCGACGACGGGUAGCCGGCCUGAGAGGGCGACCGGCCACACUGGGACUGAGACACGGCCCAGACUCCUACGGGAGGCAGCA
rnacentral:rRNA from 1 species